UUAAGCGACUAAGCGUACACGGUGGAUGCCCUGGCAGUCAGAGGCGAUGAAGGACGUGCUAAUCUGCGAUAAGCGUCGGUGAGGUGAUAUGAACCGUUAUAACCGGCGAUUUCCGAAUGGGGAAACCCAGUGUGUUUCGACACACUAUCAUUAACUGAAUCCAUAGGUUAAUGAGGCGAACCGGGGGAACUGAAACAUCUAAGUACCCCGAGGAAAAGAAAUCAACCGAGAUUCCCCCAGUAGCGGCGAGCGAACGGGGAGGAGCCCAGAGCCUGAAUCAGUGUGUGUGUUAGUGGAAGCGUCUGGAAAGGCGUGCGAUACAGGGUGACAGCCCCGUACACAAAAAUGCACAUGCUGUGAGCUCGAUGAGUAGGGCGGGACACGUGGUAUCCUGUCUGAAUAUGGGGGGACCAUCCUCCAAGGCUAAAUACUCCUGACUGACCGAUAGUGAACCAGUACCGUGAGGGAAAGGCGAAAAGAACCCCGGCGAGGGGAGUGAAAAAGAACCUGAAACCGUGUACGUACAAGCAGUGGGAGCCUCUUAAUGGGGUGACUGCGUACCUUUUGUAUAAUGGGUCAGCGACUUAUAUUCUGUAGCAAGGUUAACCGAAUAGGGGAGCCGAAGGGAAACCGAGUCUUAACUGGGCGUUAAGUUGCAGGGUAUAGACCCGAAACCCGGUGAUCUAGCCAUGGGCAGGUUGAAGGUUGGGUAACACUAACUGGAGGACCGAACCGACUAAUGUUGAAAAAUUAGCGGAUGACUUGUGGCUGGGGGUGAAAGGCCAAUCAAACCGGGAGAUAGCUGGUUCUCCCCGAAAGCUAUUUAGGUAGCGCCUCGUGAAUUCAUCUCCGGGGGUAGAGCACUGUUUCGGCAAGGGGGUCAUCCCGACUUACCAACCCGAUGCAAACUGCGAAUACCGGAGAAUGUUAUCACGGGAGACACACGGCGGGUGCUAACGUCCGUCGUGAAGAGGGAAACAACCCAGACCGCCAGCUAAGGUCCCAAAGUCAUGGUUAAGUGGGAAACGAUGUGGGAAGGCCCAGACAGCCAGGAUGUUGGCUUAGAAGCAGCCAUCAUUUAAAGAAAGCGUAAUAGCUCACUGGUCGAGUCGGCCUGCGCGGAAGAUGUAACGGGGCUAAACCAUGCACCGAAGCUGCGGCAGCGACGCUUAUGCGUUGUUGGGUAGGGGAGCGUUCUGUAAGCCUGUGAAGGUGUGCUGUGAGGCAUGCUGGAGGUAUCAGAAGUGCGAAUGCUGACAUAAGUAACGAUAAAGCGGGUGAAAAGCCCGCUCGCCGGAAGACCAAGGGUUCCUGUCCAACGUUAAUCGGGGCAGGGUGAGUCGACCCCUAAGGCGAGGCCGAAAGGCGUAGUCGAUGGGAAACAGGUUAAUAUUCCUGUACUUGGUGUUACUGCGAAGGGGGGACGGAGAAGGCUAUGUUGGCCGGGCGACGGUUGUCCCGGUUUAAGCGUGUAGGCUGAUUUUCCAGGCAAAUCCGGAAAAUCAAGGCUGAGGCGUGAUGACGAGGCACUACGGUGCUGAAGCAACAAAUGCCCUGCUUCCAGGAAAAGCCUCUAAGCAUCAGGUAACAUCAAAUCGUACCCCAAACCGACACAGGUGGUCAGGUAGAGAAUACCAAGGCGCUUGAGAGAACUCGGGUGAAGGAACUAGGCAAAAUGGUGCCGUAACUUCGGGAGAAGGCACGCUGAUAUGUAGGUGAAGCGACUUGCUCGUGGAGCUGAAAUCAGUCGAAGAUACCAGCUGGCUGCAACUGUUUAUUAAAAACACAGCACUGUGCAAACACGAAAGUGGACGUAUACGGUGUGACGCCUGCCCGGUGCCGGAAGGUUAAUUGAUGGGGUUAGCGGCAACGCGAAGCUCUUGAUCGAAGCCCCGGUAAACGGCGGCCGUAACUAUAACGGUCCUAAGGUAGCGAAAUUCCUUGUCGGGUAAGUUCCGACCUGCACGAAUGGCGUAAUGAUGGCCAGGCUGUCUCCACCCGAGACUCAGUGAAAUUGAACUCGCUGUGAAGAUGCAGUGUACCCGCGGCAAGACGGAAAGACCCCGUGAACCUUUACUAUAGCUUGACACUGAACAUUGAGCCUUGAUGUGUAGGAUAGGUGGGAGGCUUUGAAGUGUGGACGCCAGUCUGCAUGGAGCCGACCUUGAAAUACCACCCUUUAAUGUUUGAUGUUCUAACGUGGGCCCGUAAUCCGGGUUGCGGACAGUGUCUGGUGGGUAGUUUGACUGGGGCGGUCUCCUCCUAAAGAGUAACGGAGGAGCACGAAGGUUGGCUAAUCCUGGUCGGACAUCAGGAGGUUAGUGCAAUGGCAUAAGCCAGCUUGACUGCGAGCGUGACGGCGCGAGCAGGUGCGAAAGCAGGUCAUAGUGAUCCGGUGGUUCUGAAUGGAAGGGCCAUUGCUCAACGGAUAAAAGGUACUCCGGGGAUAACAGGCUGAUACCGCCCAAGAGUUCAUAUCGACGGCGGUGUUUGGCACCUCGAUGUCGGCUCAUCACAUCCUGGGGCUGAAGUAGGUCCCAAGGGUAUGGCUGUUCGCCAUUUAAAGUGGUACGCGAGCUGGGUUUAGAACGUCGUGAGACAGUUCGGUCCCUAUCUGCCGUGGGCGCUGGAGAACUGAGGGGGGCUGCUCCUAGUACGAGAGGACCGGAGUGGACGCAUCACUGGUGUUCGGGUUGUCAUGCCAAUGGCACUGCCCGGUAGCUAAAUGCGGAAGAGAUAAGUGCUGAAAGCAUCUAAGCACGAAACUUGCCCCGAGAUGAGUUCUCCCUGACUCCUUGAGAGUCCUGAAGGAACGUUGAAGACGACGACGUUGAUAGGCCGGGUGUGUAAGCGCAGCGAUGCGUUGAGCUAACCGGUACUAAUGAACCGUGAGGCUUAACCUU
rnacentral:rRNA from 1 species